rnacentral:rRNA from 1 species
GAUGAACGCUGGCGGCGUGCCUAAUACAUGCAAGUCGAGCGGACGGACGAGAAGCUUGCUGCUCUGAUGUUAGCGGCGGACGGGUGAGUAACACGUGGAUACCCUCCCUAUAUGACUGGGAUCACUUCGGGAAACCGGCGCUAAUACCGGAUAAUAUUUUGAACCGCAUGGUUCAAAGGUGAGAGACGGUGUUUGGGUCUCUACUAGAGGGAUCCGGGCUGUAUUGGCUAGUUGGUAGGGUAACGGCUUACCACGGCAACGAUGCAUAACCGACCUCAGGGGGUGGUCGGCCACACUGGAGCGGGGACACGGUCAAGACUCCUACGGGAGGCAGCAGUCGGGAACCUUCCGCAAUGGGCGAAAGCCUGACGGAGCAAGGGCGCGUCAGUGAUGAAGGUCCUCGGAUCGUAAAACUCUGUUAUUAGGGAAGAACAUAUGUGUACGGAAAUGUGGACAUCUUGACGGUACCUAAUCAGAAAGCACCGGCUAACUACGUG